rnacentral:rRNA from 1 species
UACGUAGGGUGCUAGCGUUGCUCGGAAUCACUGGGCGUAAAGCGCACGUAGGCGGAUUGUUAAGUCAGGGGUGAAAUCCUGGAGCUCAACUCCAGAACUGCCUUUGAUACUGGCAAUCUCGAGUCCGGGAGAGGUGAGUGGAACUGCGAGUGUAGAGGUGAAAUUCGUAGAUAUUCGCAAGAACACCAGUGGCGAAGGCGGCUCACUGGCCCGGUACUGACGCUGAGGUGCGAAAGCGUGGGGAGCAAACAGG